rnacentral:misc_RNA from 1 species
GAAAUGCGAUAAGUAAUGUGAAUUGCAGAAUUCAGUGAAUCAUCGAAUCUUUGAACGCACCUUGCGCUCCUUGGUAUUCCUUGGAGCAUGCCUGUUUGAGUAUCAUGUAAUCUUCAAAGUAAAUCUUUUGUUAACUCAAUUGGUUUCUACUUUGGUAUUGGAGGUCUUUGCAGCUUCACACCUGCUCCUCUUUGUUCAUUAGCUGGAUCUCAGUGUUAUGCUUGGUUCCACUCGGCGUGAUAAGUUAUCUAUCGCUGAGGACACUGUAAAAGGUGGCCAAGGUAAAUGCAGAUGAACCGCUGCUAAUAGUCCAUUGACUUGGACAAUACUUUUAUGAUCUGAUCUCAAAUCAGGUAGGACUACCCGCUGAACUUAAGC